rnacentral:rRNA from 1 species
AACGAACGCUGGCGGCGUGCCUAACACAUGCAAGUCGUGCGAGAAAGUUCCUUCGGGGACGAGUAAAGCGGCGCACGGGUGAGUAACACGUAGGUAACCUGCCCCUAAGUCUGGAACAACUAGAGGAAACUCUAGCUAAUGCCGGAUAAGACCACGGCUCCUUCGGGGGCUGCGGCCAAAGAUGGCCUCUGUUUACAAGCUAUCGCUGAGGGAUGGGCCUGCGGGCCAUUAGCUAGUUGGUGAGGUAACGGCUCACCAAGGCUGUGAUGGCUAGCUGGUCUGAGAGGAUGACCAGCCACACUGGGACUGAGACACGGCCCAGACUCCUACGGGAGGCAGCAGUGGGGAAUAUUGCGCAAUGGGCGAAAGCCUGACGCAGCGACGC